UUCUUUGGCUACUUGUAGGCUUAUGCAUUGGAGAAUGAAUUCCGAGAAGAAAAUUUUAAUUACGAAAUUAUUGGCUUUGAGCCAAAUAAAUUUCUUGAGCAACGACGAUUCUUUAAGAGAAUGGAUAGAAGUUCUUAGUACCCAGCACAUUCGCCUUAAAAAAAAAAUUGCAGACUUGAACAAAAAACGUUUAAUUCUGUUAUGUAUAAUAAAGGACUUUGGGAUGCCGAUUAAAUCAUGUUGGAAAAAGCGACGCAAAAAUAAAUUUUGGGAACACGAUUGCCAACGAAUGGAUCCGUUUUUUAAAAGAAAACUUUCGCAUGAACCGUAGUUCAGUUAAAAGUUAUGCGAAAUCCUCCGGCGUCUACAAAAAAUUGAUACGAGCUACAGAAAAGCUAUUCCGCUCGAGAAAAGAGUGGCUAUAGCAAUAUUUGCUUUAGACUCAUCUGCGGAGUAUCGGAGUAUCGCUAAUAUGUUCCGAGUAGGUAAAUCUACGGUUUGCGAAAUUUUGCACCGAAAUCUGGAGAUUACAGCAACCAUCCUGCUUCAAAAUGCUGCCACUAAAUAGAGAAAGCAUUACAGAAUUGGUGACUGGUUUCGAGGUACUUGGAUUCCCAUAAUGCUUAGGAGCAAUUGACUAACGGAGAAACUAUACGGGCAGCACUUUGUACAAAUUUUGGCAAGUAAAAAUAGUUUAUCAGGCUGAACUCAUUAAAGGCGGCAGUAACCAUAUUCCAAAAAUAAAACACAUUCAUUUACUUUUUAUUUUUUUAGCAAAUCAAGAAGUGUUUUAUUUAUUUCUUUCGUAUCCUUCACAAAUUCUUCAAUUAAUUUUGUUUUUUUGUUGUCGUUUUCUACUAAAUUUUCUGUCAUUUUUAAAAAUUUGUCUUUGCUUAUAUUAAAGUCUUCAUUUGUUUUCUUAAUUUCUUUUUCAAUAUUUUCUAAUUUUUUUAUUAUUAAACUUUUGAAAAUUAUUAUCCUCCACUAAGCCCUCUGUGUUGUAGCUUUUAUAUGGCGACAGUAUUGCGCUCAUUUUUUUAAAUAAAGGCCACUGCGAGGGGGAACCGCCAGUUGAACCGACUGCUGUUUUCUCCUUCCUAUAAAACAUAAUAAUAUAUAAAGCGUUAAUAUUUACUCAAUAUUGUUUAAUAUUUAUUUUUACUCAAUUUUAUUUACCUAAAACUUUGCGACAGAUUGUCAUCUUCGUUUUUAUUUCUGCCGCCGUGAAGGCGACACCUUGCUGCUGCAGCUCCACUGCCAUUUCCUCCAAAAUAUGGCUAUUUUUCUUUGGCCCUCGAAGUGCACCAACUUUUUCUUCCCAUAAUUCUAUUAAUAGGGCUUCUCCCCUCACACUCCACGAAUUCCGUUUUUUUUAUAGACUUUUUUCUCCAUUUGAAUGUAACCAACUUCACAGUAUGUAAACAAAUUCACAGAAUGUAAACAAAUGGUCAAGUGACAUUUAGGGCUGGUGAAAUAUGGCACCGAUUAUAAUGAGUGGAAUGUAAGUUUUCAAAGGGUUUUCAGCGAAAACUGUGUUUUCGUUUGAUAGAUUUUGUGUGGAUGAAAACACAAGUUUUCGCGUGAAAUCCUCUUUUGUCGAUGAAAACACGAAUUUCGUGUCGGUGCGAACAUAGUAUUAGUUAAUGACCGACGCAAAACCGUAGACCGAAUCAGCUGGUACGACCUAUCUUAUGAGAGCGUAAUGUAAAUGAAUACUCACCACCAUUGUAUAAAUCCACAAGUAACCAAUCCUAAGUUUUUCAUUAACACACACGCCAAAAUGUGACGCUUGAUACGGGUUGACUACUAAUUUCUACUACUAAAUCGUCCAAUUGGACCAAAUCUGUUAUGAUCUGUUGCUGUGUUAUAUUUUAAAAUGUAUAACUUUAAGAAUGUUUUUAUUACAUAUUCAAAUAUUUUUCAAUUAUUAAAAUUCCAGAAGAUGAAAUUUACGUAAUUUGGUCUACAUUAUUAUUUAUUGUAUCAAAAUAUUAGUAAAUAUUUCCAAUUUUAUCAAAAAUAUUAAUAGAAUAAAGUAAAUAGUUUUUAAUCAUUUAUUUUAUUUUAAAUAGUUUAGUUAGUAGUAGUUUUUGUUAACGAUCUACUAUAUAAGAGAUGCGGGUUUUUUAUGCGAUUAGAUUACAUUUAAUCAAUUCACUAAUCUAGAUCGGCUUCGGCAGCCUCACCUCACAUUGUUCUCCUUUUUUUAUAAUAUUUUCUGAAAUUUUCAAUUAUUUACUUGAUAUUGCUUUAACUAUUUUUAUUAUUCGUUUGUAGGUAGGAGGUAGAGUGGCGGGGAUUUGUCACACCUAGGCAUUCAAGAGGCCUAUUGUGAUACCACCGGGACUAUGGUCCCCUCACUCUAUUGGCUCCUCUCUGAACCAUCCCGUACUCCUGAUGAACGUUAUUAGUAAUACAGCUUUAUCCUUGCAACCUCCGAGACUUCAUCAAGAAACCCACGGCCGAUGGCUGCGAUUCUUUUCCUAUAUAGAGCCGUGCAAUCGCAUAUAAGAUGUUAAAUGGUCUCCUCCUCUUUUACUUCCUGACAGCUUCUACAAUAGUCGUUAUAUUGCGUACCAAGUCAACUUGCAUGUCUGCCUAUUAGACAAUGGCCUGUUAGUACUAUUACAAUUCCAUUCAUGCCACGUUGGCCUGCUUGUUAAGCAAGGGACUGAUUCCACUGAGACUCAGCUAUGUUUAUCAUAUGUUUGUCGAUUAUGUAUCUACUAGUAGCCAGAGGCAUAUAUAUGUCCUCCUUACCAGAAUUUAAGUGUAGGGUGGUGCCUGUUCUGGCUAGUUUAUCUGCUACACAGUUCCCUGGGAUAUCACUGUGUCCUGGGACCCAUUGCGGGUUUAUCAAUGAUGUCAGUCUGUAUAUAUAAAUAUAUUUCUUGUUGUGAUCACACUCCUUGUCAGUACAAGAAGGCUUUCUUUAAUUGCUGUGACCUCCGCUGGGGAGACACUGCAGUGGUCUGGAAGCCGAAAGGCGAUUUUGGUAUCUAGUUUAGCUGAGAAAACACCGCCGCCUACUCGGUUAUCUAGUUUGGAACCAUCCGUAUAGAAGCUUAUCCCUGCUUCUUUGUCCACUACACUCCUCUAUGGAGGGGAAGGCAAUAUUGGGGACCGGAUUUAGAUUCAGCUCUAUAGUAUUUCGAAAAUCAGUGGUUAUGGGAAGAAACGGAAACUUUUUAAGUAUCAUAUAUUGCCCUUUACUAUUGGCGACUAGUAGGGAAGAUUCCCUCAGUCUCAGAGCUGACUUCGCUGCCAUUUGCUUGCAAAACAGGUCUGUUGGCAGUAAGUGUAAAAUUACAUUUAGCGCCUGGCUUGGCGUUGUUCUGAGAGCUACACUGCUUUUCAUACUUCUAAUCGCGUAUUUCUUUUCUGUUAUUGGCCACCAUAUGAAUAUACCGUAACUCACCCGAGGCGUCUGUCCUCAUCUGGGCCCCACCAUUCUUUUACAAGUGUUAAGUGCUGUAGCGGCUUUCUUUACCCUAGCUUCCAAGUUUGGUUUCCAAGAAAGCUUCCUGUCCAAAAUUAGACCCAAGUAGCUUGCUUUAUCUCCUAUCGUUAGCCUGGUACCACUUAAUAAUGGCGGCGUGACUUCUGGAGUGCUGUAUUUCUUAGUGAACAAUACUACUUCUGUCUUGCUAACUAACUUUUAAUCCACAUGAUACGGCCCAUCGAUUAAUAUCGUUUAAUACUGUCUGCUAACUGAAACUGACAAAUCGUCAGCGUAGAUCAAAACAUGUACCCCCUUCUUUUCAAGAUCCACCAGCAUUUUCUUAAUUGCCAGGAUCCAGAGAAGUGGAUAACACGACUCCUUGGGGUGUACUCCUUCAGAAAGAUCUGGACAUCAUUGAAGCACCCAGCAUUGAAAUAAUUGACCUGCACAAGAGCAUCUGUUCAAUUAAUUUCCGGAGAGGCUCAGAGUAGCCCAAAUCUUUAAGCGCACUCAGUAUGGCCUUUGGCUGGAUGUUAUUAAAAGCACCUGUUAUGUCUAAGAGUGCUUCGAGGAUGUAUUCUUUUAUCUCCAGAGACUGAGCUUAACGCCGUUUCUGUGGAUUUACCCUUAGAAUACACAUGCUGCGAAACUGCCAUUUUUCCUGGGCUUAGUUUGCAUCUUAUGUGUAUUUCUAUUAGUUUCUCCAACGUUUUUAAGAGAAAUAAGGAAAGAAGAAUUGGUAUAAAAUCCUUUAGAUUAGUGUGUGAGCCCGCCUUUGGUAUAUAUAUCACGUAGACUUUCCUCCAUACCGAGGGAAUAUAGUUUAAUUGUAGUGCCCUUUUAGAUCUGGGACUGCUGUAACUGAGCCGGGAAUAUUCCGUCUGGUCCCGGCGAUUUAUAAGGCUUGAAGCUGCCUAUCGCCCAAUAAACAUUACUAUCUGACACUAUAUCUACAGGAAGGAACUCUGCUACCACUUUACUCUCCAGUGUAUGCUUCAUUUUGUUGUUCUCGGAACUGUCUGGGAAGUGAGUAUCCAUUAGCAGGCCUAGAAUCUCUUCACUGGAUACCGUCCAGCCGUGGUCUAGCUUCUGAAGGUAUCCAAUGUUAUGUUUCGACUGUCUCAUUAUUUUUCUAAGUUGAGCCGCUUCUGCCGUAUUCUCGAUGUCAUUGCAGAAAAAUUUCUACGAAUCUUUUUUGCCUUCCUUACCUCCUUUUUAUAAGACUUUAAAAGGUUAUAAUAGUUAUCCCACUCUUCUUCUCUUUGGUAUAAUUUGGCUAAAUUGAAUUGCUUCCUGCGAUCUUUCUGCAUGUUCUUAAGUAUGAGAGACCACCAGGGUGGCCUAAAUCUUCCCCUACUGCGUGUUAUUGGACAAGUCACCUCUAGUACUUGUCGACAAGAAUCUGUGAACUGUUUAACGAGGAUGUUUAUGUUUAUGUUUGAAAUGGCGGAAUCAUAGAAAUACGCUUUUUUAGCUCCUGAACUUGCAUCUGCUAGUUCGUUUUCCUAUGAUUACUGAAUAUCUCUACCCUAUCUACAUUCUCUUCAAUUAUGCACUCAACAUAUCGGUGAUCUGAGAAUGAGUGUUUAUCCAGUACUCUCCAAUGUGUCAUUCUGACAGUUCUACCGACACAAGUGUUAUGUCCAAUACUUCUUGUCGGUUUCUAGUUAGAAAUGUUGGCGUACCUGCAUAACAAAAGCUCAUUUCCUAGUAAAUGAUUAAACAGCAACUCACCCCUUUUGUUGAUGUCCGUGCAAAUGUGUGGUGUGCGUUGGAGUCGCACUCAAGUAUAAUCGAGCAGUUGGAUGCUUCACUGUCUCGUACCAGCUUUUUUAUGAGCUGCGAUGGUACUGCUUGGCCUUGACAAAUAUACAUCCCCCAGCUGGCAGAUUCGGGUUACAGCCUCUGAUGAGCUGCAUUAUCUGGUCCGGCUGCGAUAGUGUAGUCGGGAUCCAUACCUUUGCCCUCUGUCGGCAUGGGAUAUCUUUUUUGCCUACUGCCACAAGUCUGGCUCCAUGGUAGACCUCCCCCACCUUAGUUAUUGCGGCCUUAUAUAGCUGAAUCGAACUCUCGUCGUCACACGCUAUGAUCUUUAUUUGACCCUGAUACCAUCCGGCAUCCGUACAUGACGAGGCUGGGCUAUUUAAAGCCCCCAAGCCAGGUUAAUUUCCGUACGGGUCGCAUGAUACCCUUUAUACACCUCUAACCAUAGUAAGACCUCUUAUCUGGAUGCUGUACUAUUGAAGAGUAACGAACACCCAGACAGGAAGCCUGACCUUUGCUAGAUUUCUCACUACUACAACAGGUGCGAACCGCUGCCUACGUCGUGAAAGUGUGGUAUCUAUUCCCAGCCCUACUGACAAACAGAUGGCGGUUACGAGAAGCCAUGAUAGCAGAAAACAAUAAUGUUGAGGAAAAUGUAUUUCAAUUGGAAUUAGAGGAAGAGACUUAAUGUUCAUCAGUAGAGCAGUAAGCGUGUAUAUUAGCGCAGGUGUCCUCACGGUCGGAAGAGCAGGAUAAAAUUAAGAUGAAAUUGAUGAGUCUUUGCAGGAAGAUCCAGAUUUGCAAGGCGUAUUGAUCAAUAGAGUUAAGUUCUGAUCAAGAAAUGAAAUAAAAGAAUUUCGAGUUAGCUUUAAUACAGUGGAUGUAUCAGAAACUGGUUACUAAGAAAACAUGUACAACUGCUUUAUAUGCGCAAUCCGAUGGCAUGGUAGAAGAAUUGAAUUAAGCUUUGCAAGAAGAAGCUUCGCAUUUUGAAGAAAGUGGUAGCCAAAUAUCGAAAAAAUUGCUAUAUCCAUAUAUGAUGGCAUCUGAUGGCUUAGCAGUCUGCUGUACAUGAAGCUAUAGGGCAGACUCCAACUAGGGUAAUUUUUGAUAACGCUCUUCGGCAACCGAAUGAUUUGAAAUUUCGAAUUAACGCCAAUAAGAGAAGCCGGCUAAGGAAGUCAACAGUAUGCUAGAAGAUGAGAUGAGGAAUCUAAAUGCUAUUGUGCUGCUGUUAUCUAUUAAAUGUACUUGAGAAUCUGAUUAUAUCAGAUAGUAGAUAUCAUCGCUUUGUAGAUAUGAUUUCCAUUGUUGCCCCCACAACUCAGGUGCAGACUGAUGAGUUCCAUCGGUUGGAUUUCUCAUUGUGGAUGGAAUCGGGUCUUCACGACACACGGAAAGAAUACUAUAUGAACAAGGUUUACCAGUAGCCGGUGAAGCGAUUUACCAGCGCCAUAAUAUUCAGCUGCCUCCACGAAAAUCUUUUAAAACCUCAUCAUCGUUAUACAGGCACUCCGUUUCAAAAGUUAAAGCAAUAACAAUUUUAACAUAUCCUUCAUAUGUCGUCUUACUUAUUCUGAUAAACUUAAACUUAAAUAUUGCAGUGCGGUUCCUUACUUUCAUCAUAUCAUCGAUAGUAAAUGCUGAUGAAUUGAUCUUGAUGAGCUGGAUAAGGAUCUGAAGCUGACCUUUGUUGCAUUGAGAUUAGUAAAGACUUAAUAUGACCGUAUGGAUCACCCCGAAUACCCGAAUAUCUUAAUGGAAUCUUACGUCUUGCUGAGAAUACAUAGAUACUAUAAAGAGAAAAAAUUGUUUGUUUGAAUUGAAUUGACUCCCAAACUAUUUGACGGAUUUUAAAAAUAAUUUCACCGUUGGGAAGCUUCACUAUCUCCGGUGAAAAAUAAAACGCUAAUAAUGUAACUCAAGGUGGUAAACAAAUUACCUAAAUAAUGCCUUACAUCGCGUGCGUCCCAAAUACUAUUAAGUAUAUAACUAAAUAAUG